AUUGAACGCUGGCGGCAGGCCUAACACAUGCAAGUCGAGCGGAUGAAGGGAGCUUGCUCCUGGAUUUAGCGGCGGACGGGUGAGUAAUGCCUAGGAAUCUGCCUGGUAGUGGGGGAUAACGUCCGGAAACGGGCGCUAAUACCGCAUACGUCCUGAGGGAGAAAGUGGGGGAUCUUCGGACCUCACGCUAUCAGAUGAGCCUAGGUCGGAUUAGCUAGUUGGUGGGGUAAAGGCCUACCAAGGCGACGAUCCGUAACUGGUCUGAGAGGAUGAUCAGUCACACUGGAACUGAGACACGGUCCAGACUCCUACGGGAGGCAGCAGUGGGGAAUAUUGGACAAUGGGCGAAAGCCUGAUCCAGCCAUGCCGCGUGGGUGAAGAAGGUCUUCGGAUUGUAAAGCACUUUAAGUUGGGAGGAAGGGCAGUAAGUUAAUACCUUGCUGUUUUGACGUUACCAACAGAAUAAGCACCGGCUAACUUCGUG
rnacentral:rRNA from 1 species